GACGGGGCGGGACAGUGUUGGUGAAUUAUUGGGCGUAAAGCGCACGUAGGCGGUGUGUUAAGUCGGAUGUGAAAGCCCUGGGCUCAACCCAGGAAGUGCAUUCGAAACUGGCACACUUGAGUAUGGAAGAGGGUCGCGGAAUUCCCGGUGUAGAGGUGAAAUUCGUAGAUAUCGGGAGGAACACCAGUGGCGAAGGCGGCGACCUGGGCCAAUACUGACGCUGAGGUGCGAAAGCGUGGGGAGCAAACAGG
rnacentral:rRNA from 1 species